rnacentral:lncRNA from 1 species
GAGAGACCGAAUGGUUAUAAUGUUCCAAAAUAAAAGGCAGUUUUCUUUUGAAAAAGAGGCCGUGCCUAAAAGUUGAGUGUGGAAAAUGCUGCCUAUAGCCUUUUAUUAGCUUCAUUCACUCUAAUAUAUCUGCCUUGUAUGCCAAGAAAAGUAUAAACAAAUGGCAGGGUAUUGGUUUUUCAAUAGCAAGGUUUAAACCAAGGUUAUAAAAAACAUAUCCCAUCUGACUGUAUUUAUGAAACAAUUAAUAUUGUCAAUGUCUUUUCCAUCUCCUCCAAGUCACACUUACUACAUAAACUUUGAUAUAUCUCUAAGAGGAACAAAAAUACCAGCUGGAGAAUAAACAGGGCAAUGCGCCAGCACUAUUGGAAAGGGAAACGAUUUCCUUGUCUUCUUAUAAAAUGCCUUGAUAUUAAAAUAAACCAAGACGUAAUUCUCUUGAAUUUGCCUGUGAAGGCUUGGGUGAUAGCUGACGAAGGGUCUUGCUCUUAGCUUGUAAUGUUAGAAUCUAUAUGCAGUUAAUUAUUUUCUCGUACAGGACUUUUACACUGGCAGUAAGUCUCUGAUUCUACGUUCUACCCCCAGGACCACAGCGAUUUGGUAUCAGCCCUGGCCCUGAUUCUGCUCGUAUCUGCCGCCGUGCGCGAUGGGACCCGCCGGCCCCGAGUCCGCCAGCAGAGCGCCCGGCGCUGUCCGUGGUGCUGAAAGCACCGCUCCUAGGAGAGAGCGAACGGGCAGAGCGCACCUGCUGAACAGGCAGAACAGUCUGCAUGCCACAGGAGGGAUACCAAUGCCUGAGCUGUCUGAAUUUCUGAAGAGGAGAUGUCCUUUCACUGCCCCAGCCAAAAGAGGCAGAAGGAGCCCCCCGCAGUGUGCACAUCACUUGUGCUUCUUGGGAUUCCUGAAUCACUGAUCUUCUCUGAGGAGUAGCCUUCCCUGAGGACCAUCAGAAUAAAGAACUGCAAAGUGACAGUUCCUUGUAGCAUCAUCGCGGACCGACUCGGUUUGUCUCUCCUGCUCAGCUUUGCCCUGUGAGUGGCUGCUGGGACCACAGGCAGAUUAGGAGCCGACAGUCCUGCCCUGGAGCUGCCCCCUGCAUCGCUUCCUGCCCGUGCAUCUUAGUCCAGAACUGAGGAAUAUCCUCACUGCAACAGACUUGCUUUGACAAAUUCCUGAUAAGCUUUACUUUGAUGCCUUUAAAUAAAACAGAUGCUUAGAGGAAGAGAGUAUUCCUGCAUACUUCUGUACCUGGAUGAUCCCCCAUCCCCAGGAUGUGCUUUGCUGAUCUUAGGAUCAGAAAUCAUACAAUCAUCUUCUAUUUCUGCACCUCCCCGUUCAUCUGAACUGCUCCUUGCCAUGACAGGAAUGGCUGGAAAUGGUCACAUAGGAGAUGGCAUUCUGAAAAAGACACAUAUGCUGAGGGUACACAAUCUGUAACACGCCUGUUGUAGCCCAAAAUGUCACAUGGUUGGGUGUGUAGGAACUUUCCUUGGAUUCAU